GAUGAAGAACGUAGCGAAAUGCGAUACGUAAUGUGAAUUGCAAAUUCAGUGAAUCAUCGAGUCUUUGAACGCACAUUGCGCCCCUUGGUAUUCCGAGGGGCAUGCCUGUUCGAGCGUCAUUAUAACCCCUCAAGCUCAGCUUGGUGUUGGGGCCUGCUGCACUGGCAGCCCUUAAAAUCAGUGGCGGCGCCAUCUGGCUCUAAGCGUAGUAAUUCUUCUCGCUAUGGAGUCCUGGUGGAUGCUUGCCAUCAACCCCCAAUUUUUCUAUGGUUGACCUCGGAUCAGGUAGGGAUACCCGCUGAACUUAAGCAUAUCAAUAAGCGGAGGA
rnacentral:misc_RNA from 1 species